rnacentral:misc_RNA from 1 species
GAAAUGCGAUACCUAGUGUGAAUUGCAGCCAUCGUGAAUCAUCGAGUUCUUGAACGCACAUUGCGCCCGUCGGCAUUCCGGCGGGCAUGCCUGUCUGAGCGUCGUUUCCUUCUUGCAAGACGAGAGUUGCGCAGAGCUGGCCCGGCCACGGCCCCGCCGAAAAGAAACGAGGCCACGAGCGAACUAGAACAGGACGCUUGGGGUCUCCGAGCACAUACGAGCUCGACCUCAGAUCAGGUAGGAAUACCCGCUGAACUUAA